rnacentral:tRNA from 1 species
GAGGGUAUAGCUCAGAGGUAGAGUGCAUGCCUAGUAUGCAUGAGGUCAUGGGUUCAGUCACUAAUACCAUCA